rnacentral:misc_RNA from 1 species
UAUUGGAAAAUUAAAAAAAAAUCAAUUAUAAAGAUAUUCAUUGUCUUUAUAUUUGAUAAAAUAAAAAAAAAAACAAAU